GUGGCGACGGAGGCGCGACCCCCCCCCCCCCCCCCCCCCCCCGCCCCGGUCCGACGGGGCGACCCGCCAGGGGCGCUCUGGGGACAGUCCGCCCCGCCCCGCCC
rnacentral:pre_miRNA from 1 species